rnacentral:other from 1 species
UUUACCCUGCCCGUGCUCGUGCUCAGAAACUGAGUCCUUGAACCGUAGUUGACGAAAAAAGGAACCCAAGCUGAGGCGGCGGCCGACAGGCCUUUACUGGAAGUCGAAAGCCGCAAAGCCCGUUCCACCUGUUUCUAAAUAGUUCAAAGGAACUGUUUGCACACGGCAUCAGGCGGGGUUUUU